GAAUGUCUCUAGGAGUCACGUGAUCUCGAAGCUGCAAGAUGGCGGCGUGCGGACGUUAUUGCACGCUCUCGCGAGAGUUUGUCGCGCGCGAGGCAUGAUGGGGAGAAAGAGAUGUAGGCUGAUGAGAAAGGAAGACUUCAUUCAGCACUGUACAGUAUCUUAACAGUCACAAUUUAAAAAAAA